rnacentral:rRNA from 1 species
CUACGUGCCAGCAGCCGCGGUAAUACGUAGGGUGCGAGCGUUAAUCGGAAUUACUGGGCGUAAAGCGAGCGCAGACGGUUACUUAAGCAGGAUGUGAAAUCCCCGGGCUCAACCUGGGAACUGCGUUCUGAACUGGGUAGCUAGAGUAUGUCAGAGGGGGGUAGAAUUCCACGUGUAGCAGUGAAAUGCGUAGAGAUGUGGAGGAAUACCGAUGGCGAAGGCAGCCCCCUGGGAUAAUACUGACGCUCAGGUGCGAAAGCGUGGGGAGCAAACAGGAUUAGAUACCCUGGUAGUCCACGCUGUAAACGAUGUCGACUUGGAGGUUGUGCCCUUGAGGCGUGGCUUCCGGAGCUAACGCGUUAAGUCGACCGCCUGGGGAGUACGGCCGCAAGGUUAAAACUCAAAUGAAUUGACGGGGGCCCGCACAAGCGGUGGAGCAUGUGGUUUAAUUCGAUGCAACGCGAAGAACCUUACCUACUCUUGACAUCCAGAGAAUUCGCUAGAGAUAG